UACGAAGGGGGCUAGCGUUGCUCGGAAUUACUGGGCGUAAAGCGCACGUAGGCGGCUCUUUUAAGUCGGGGGUGAAAUCCUGGAGCUCAACUCCAGAACUGCCUUCGAUACUGUAGAGCUUGAGUUCGGGAGAGGUGAGUGGAACUGCGAGUGUAGAGGUGAAAUUCGUAGAUAUUCGCAAGAACACCAGUGGCGAAGGCGGCUCACUGGCCCGAUACUGACGCUGAGGUGCGAAAGCGUGGGGAGCAAACAGGG
rnacentral:rRNA from 1 species